GAUUGAUGUAGAGAGCUUUCUUUGGUCCACAUAUAGGGGUAGUAUGAUUCAAUUAGUUGCCGACUCAUUCACACAAAUGCUAAGGUUUGAGUUGGAAAAACCCUUAGUAACUGAGUGAAUGAAGUGGGAGACAAGUUGAAUCUUAAGCUUCCUGUGCUUGGACUGAAGGGAGCUCCCUCUUGAUUUACU
rnacentral:pre_miRNA from 1 species